ensembl:lncRNA
AGGAGGAGUUAAGGCUGAUGAGGUUGGAUAAUUAGAGAAAUGAGAAGCACACCCUUAAUGAUGGUGACAUUGAUCAUACAUUGAGUUGCAGUCCACAGCAUAACUGCUUGACAUAAGAUUUGGUUUUAUCUCCUGCUUGCAGCUUUAUCAGGGGAGUUAUUUUGUUAAAAAAAUGAAGCAGUGGUGCAUCGUUCAAUUGCAAAAUGGUGGCACAGAAAUUGUGCCACACAGCUGGCUGAUUGGAAAGAAGCUUCUAUGGCCACCAUAUCCACCCAAAGACACAGCCAAGGUACGGGCUGCAGUUAAAAAAAUAUGAACUGCCUUCUGAGGAAUGGUUGUCCUAUGAACUUGUUAGACACCUUGUAAGUCAAGCCACAGAUGAAGAAGCUGAGAAGAGUUUGAAAAGAUACCUACAGGAGAACUGCAACACAACUGACAUUCAGUCUGAUGAAGAAACUGAAAAGUUUGAAAAAAGAAUAUCCAGAUCCAAUCCCGUUUACAACUGAUACAGAAGACGAAGUUAAAAAAAAGAAAGCUCUGCCCAGCUCCUAGACUUCUAUUUUUAGUCUCCAACAAAAUGCAGGCUCCUGUUCAAUCAGCUUUCAGAGUCAAGACCUCUGUCCAGUCUUCUAUCAAAAUUCUGCCUAACUAUCCUUUGGAGUCCUCUGACCAGAUGUGCAGCAGUUCUCCAUACUUGACUGAGUCAGGCGACUCAUCAGCCCUGCCCGCCAUGUACCCCAGCCAGGAACCAUCUUACAAGGAUCAAGAGGAUGCAAGUGAUUCUGCAAGACAGUUGCUGCAAGUGCAGAUAAGUUUUUCUACUUUCCUUAUACAGUAUGCAUGUUAAAUAUGUCUUGAACUGUAAUGUUUUUAUUCUCCACAAGAUGUUGCUUUACAAAAGUUGAUUGGAACUGUCACAGAACUUCAAAGCAACCUUUGCUUCCAUUGCCUGUCUCAGUCCAUCUGCACAAUACUGAAGAGCUUGAGACUGCAGAGAAGAUUUUACAAUCCAGUGAAGCAAGGCAAAUGAUGGUGAGACACUUUAGCAUAAUUGGAGGAACCUCACUGGAAAUGAGGGUCCGUCGCAUGCUUUCCUGUGCACUGACCAAUGAACUGGCAUCAUCAAUAAAUUGGGCUGGGAAGAUGGUUAAAGAGCAGUCAAGGCAAAAGAGGGCAUUCAAGGAUACUUUCUUGAAUAUGUGUAUAUUUGAUGCUUUGACUUUGCAGAUGGGUGUGGGAAAAGUUUCCCAAUAUGAAUAUAUUCAGGCAGUCCAGAAAUGGUGCCGAUAUGCACCAUACCGUGUGGGCAGAACUGCACAUCAAACAACUACAACUGUUCCUUUGGUGCCUCCAGAAACAAAUUAAUUUUGUCAUUUUAAUUUAUUUUUUUCAUGACAUAGUAUGAAGUGCUUUCAGUUGACUGAAUUAAAAGACAGCAAAAAAUAAAUAAAUGUGAUUGAACCAGUGGAAAAGUGUUUAUUUUUUUAUUUUUUAUUAUAGU